rnacentral:rRNA from 1 species
AGAGUUUGAUCCUGGCUCAGAAUCAACGCUGGCGGCGUGCCUCAGACAUGCAAGUCGAACGCGAAAGUUCCCUUCGGGGAGCAAGUAGAGUGGCGCACGGGUGAGUAACACGUAGGUAAUCUACCUUUGGAUGGGGAAUAACAACCGGAAACGGUUGCUAAUACCGCAUAAUGCAGCGGCACCUAAUGGUGACAGUUGUUAAAGCGGGGGAUCGCAAGACCUCGCGUCUAAAGAGGAGCCUGCGGCGGAUUAGCUAGUUGGUAAGGUAACGGCUUACCAAGGCGAUGAUCCGUAGCCGGCCUGAGAGGGCGGUCGGCCACACUGACACUGACAUACGGGUCAGACUCCUACGGGAGGCAGCAGUCGGGAAUUUUGGGCAAUGGGCGAAAGCCUGACCCAGCAACGCCGCGUGAAGGAUGAAAUCCCUCGGGAUGUAAACUUCGCAAGAACGGGAAGAAUAAGUUGGUGUGAACAUCACCAGCGAUGACGGUACCGUUUGUAAGCUCCGGCUAACUCCGUGCCAGCAGCCGCGGUAAUACGGGGGGAGCAAGCGUUGUUCGGAUUUACUGGGCGUAAAGGGCGCGUAGGCGGCCACCGCAAGUCGACUGUGAAAUCUCCGGGCUUAACCCGGAAAGGUCAGCCGAUACUGCGGGGCUAGAGUGCAGAAGGGGCAACUGGAAUUCUCGGUGUGGCGGUGAAAUGCGUAGAUAUCGAGAGGAACACCUGCGGCGAAGGCGGGUUGCUGGGCUGACACUGACGCUGAGGCGCGAAAGCUAGGGGAGCGAACGGGAUUAGAUACCCCGGUAGUCCUAGCCUUAAACGAUGGAUGCUUGGUGUCUGGGGUUACAUAGUCCCCGGGUGCCGUCGCUAACGCUUUAAGCAUCCCGCCUGGGGAGUACGGUCGCAAGACUGAAACUCAAAUGAAUUGACGG